rnacentral:rRNA from 1 species
AGUGAACGCUGGCGGUAGGCCUAACACAUGCAAGUCGAACGGCAGCACAGUAAGAGCUUGCUCUUACGGGUGGCGAGUGGCGGACGGGCGCGGAAUACAUCGGAAUCUACUUUUUCGUGGGGGAUAACGUAGGGAAACUUACGCUAAUACCGCAUACGACCUACGGGUGACAGCAGGGGAUCUUCGGACCUUGCGCGAUUGAAUGAGCCGAUGUCGGAUUAGCGAGUUGGCGGGGUAAAGGCCCACCAAGGCGACGCUCCGUAGCUGGUCUGAGAGGAUGAUCAGCCACACUGGAACUGAGACACGGUCCAGACUCCUACGGGAGGCAGCAGUGGGGAAUAUUGGACAAUGGGCGCAAGCCUGAUCCAGCCAUACCGCGUGGGUGAAGAAGGCCUUCGGGUUGUAAAGCCCUUUUGUUGGGAAAGAAAAGCAGCAGGUUAAUACCCCGCUGUUCUGACGGUACCCAAAGAAUAAGCACCGGCUAACUUCGUG